GGCGAGAGUAGAAGCGUUCAGCCCGCAUCGCAACAGUGCAGGCAGGAAAUCGCUCUUGAU
rnacentral:ncRNA from 1 species